GAGUAAUCUGCCCUUCACUUCGGGAUAAGCUUCGGAAACGGGGUCUAAUACCGGAUACGACACUUUCAGGCAUCUGAUGAGUGUGGAAAGUUUUUUCGGUGGGGGAUGUGCUCGCGGCCUAUCAGCUUGUUGGUGGGGUAAUGGCCUACCAAGGCUUCGACGGGUAGCCGGCCUGAGAGGGUGACCGGCCACACUGGGACUGAGACACGGCCCAGACUCCUACGGGAGGCAGCAGUGGGGAAUAUUGGACAAUGGGCGGAAGCCUGAUCCAGCAACGCCGCGUGAGGGAUGACGGCCUUCGGGUUGUAAACCUCUUUCAGUACCGACGAAGCGAGAGUGACGGUAGGUACAGAAGAAGCACCGGCCAACUACGUGCCAGCAGCCGCGGUAAUACGUAGGGUGCGAGCGUUGUCCGGAAUUAUUGGGCGUAAAGGGCUCGUAGGCGGUUUGUCGCGUCGGGAGUGAAAACACCGGGCUUAACUCGGUGCUUGCUUUCGAUACGGGCAGACUAGAGGUAUGCAGGGGAGAACGGAAUUCCUGGU
rnacentral:rRNA from 1 species